AAAAGGCCCUGGGGACUAAAGGCACAGCUUGAAAGGCUUGAAACAGUGCAGGGGCUUAAAGCCACAACCAAACUUAGAGAGGCCGGCACCUGAAGCCCCAACCAGCAAGGCCAGCACCGGCCCCAGGGCCUGAAGUCACAGCCAGAGAGGCCUACACCGGCCCCAGGGCCUAAAGCCCCAGCCCCAGUCUGAGAAACCAGCACCAGCCCCAAGGCCUGAGGCCACAGCCACAGCCACACAGGCUGCCAUUGAUCCCAGGGCCUAAAGCCACAGCCCAAAAGGCCAGCACUGGCCCCGGGGCCUAAAGCCACAUCCAGAGAGGCUGGAACCAGGCCAAGGGCCUAAAGCCACAGCCACGGCACAAGAGGCCAGCACCAGCUUUGAAUAUAAAGCCACAGCCCAAGAGGCCUAUACCGGCCCCGAGGCCUGAAGGUACAGCCACAGCCCGAGAGGCCUACAUCGGUCCCCGAACCUAACGCCACAGCCAGACAGGCCUGCACCAGCCCCGGGACAUUCAGGUGUGCGUUGCUAUUGGUUUCCAGUGAUUCCUCUGGGACUCCAUUGACCACUGUGAAGCCGUAUUGGUCUUUUCUGUUUUUUAUUGGGCUGCACAAGAGUCGUCUUCACUUCUCCAUUCCUGUUCUUCAGAUAACCCCAUGGGGUGACCCUAAGAUGUGGAGCUGGGAGGCGUCCAUUUCCUUCGCUUAUGAUGAAAGCACCGAGGCGAUGCGGGCACUCGCUGAGGUCACAACCACUGCUGGGGUGGGAGCGUUUGUGCCACAGCUGGUGAGCAGAGCUGGUGCUCUGGUGAGCGUGCUGCACGCAGAGACUGAGCUCUGGGCCUUCUGUGGAACAGAUCACCCUGUGAGAGCCCGACGGAAGCACCGCGUGUGCACUCGUCGGUACUUUCUGCAGGAUUCCUGUCCCAAAGGAGAUUCCGGGAUAGAGGCGGUCUUAGGAAGAGGGAAGCCAGCUCUUUCCAAGGGCCGGGGAAGUUCCUGCAGAGAGAGCCUCUGGAACUUCAGCUUCCUCUGAGCCUUCAGCAGCCAUGUCUCAGCAAGGAGACGACCGCGGUUCCAAUUGCUGCCGUGUGAGUGGCAAGGUAUGGCUGGGCCUCUUCUGCUUGGUGCUUCCGUUUCCUUGUUUUCAAGGGGAAGGGACGGAGCAGGGGGAGCCCUGCUGGUCCUUGGUGACCUCAGGAACCGGUUGGAUUCAGCGCUCACUGCUGACAGCCUGGGCUAACAACGUGGACGUGGCUCAGGCUGUCUUUUCCCAUAGUGAUAAUCAGUGUCUCAGCACUCUGAUAUCCCAUGUGUGGCACGAUCUGGAACCUCUCUGCAAACCUUGGCUGCCCGUUCCCACCACCGUUUCUCCCUUUCUCUCUUCAGAAGUGGCGCGGUGCGGUUCCCCGCGGUUGGGAGCAGCAGCCAGCAGGCUGCCAGAGAUCCAACCGCGCCUUGCAGCGCACAGAGGGACGCAACAGGGACGGACGGUCCUUCCUGCCAUACAGAAGGAUGGAUCCUGCGCGUCCAUGGAGUGGUGCUGGGCAAGGGGGGAAACGGAAAGCCUCCGCAGAGAGAGGUGCCGAGCCCAACGGAAAGAUCUACGCAAAAGCGGUGCAGGAAGUCCUUCUGGAGAGAGCUCAUCUCCAGGCUGGAGGGCUUCCUACAACAGCAGGUCCCAGCACAGGGGGAAGACCUUCCCCUGCUGUGUGCCCCCGCUCUGUCUCCAAGUCCUUGGCUGGAUGUAAACGCAAAGGCUUGGAAGAAGCGAAGCCAACAGCAGUGCAGCUGCCUGCUAACAAAAGAGUGAGGGGGCCGAGCGGAGACAGCGUGCCAGCUCCAGCAGCACACCCUGGGCCUGCUGCAGCGCGGAGCUCCAAGCUAAGAGGUGAGAAGGUGCUGUGGAACCCACCCUGGUGAGCUGCUGCCCUUUUCAAGCACACUGAGUUUGCUCAGGGUUCGCUUUGCUUUUUCCUUCUCUGUGGAGGGGACAAGAGUGGAAGGCUACAAAGUCCAAAGGCAGUGAGCGAGAAGACGCCAAGAGAAAGAGAGGAGAGGGGAAUCGAUGAAGGCUGCCCUCAGAGCUGCCGCUGCACGUGCAGAGGCCUCCGCAGUGAACAGCCUUGUGGAGAUGAUGCAGAAGCUGCAGCUGAAGGACUGAGAGGAGGAGCGUCAGCAGGCAGCGGCUGCAGUGCGCGGCGUUACAGGGCAGCGCUGCGAGUGCCGCCCAACUCGGCCCUCCAACUUCAGAUGGAGUCAAUAAAAACCAGUCACAAUGAGAGAUUCACACAGAGCGCACGGCCUCAUUUGUCCAGCGGCACUCGGAGAGCUGCUGCACCACCUCCUCAUUAUUGGUCUCGCAUCGCUCGCUCAGAACUCCCA